rnacentral:tRNA from 1 species
UCCCUGGUGGCUCAGAGGGUAAAGCGUCUGCUGCAAUGCAGGAGACCCAGGUUUGAUCCCUGGGUUGGGAA